GAUGAACGCUGGCGGCGUGCCUAAUACAUGCAAGUCGAGCGAACAGACGAGGAGCUUGCUCCUCUGACGUUAGCGGCGGACGGGUGAGUAACACGUGGAUAACCUACCUAUAAGACUGGGAUAACUUCGGGAAACCGGAGCUAAUACCGGAUAACAUGUUGAACCGCAUGGUUCAACAGUGAAAGACGGUCUUGCUGUCACUUAUAGAUGGAUCCGCGCCGCAUUAGCUAGUUGGUAAGGUAACGGCUUACCAAGGCAACGAUGCGUAGCCGACCUGAGAGGGUGAUCGGCCAAACUGGACCUGAGACACGGUCCAGACUCCUACGGGAGGCAGCAGUAGGGAAUCUUCAGCAAUGGGCGAAAGCCUGACGGAGCAACGCCGCGUGAGUGAAGAAGGUCUUCGGAUCGUAAAACUCUGUUAUUAGGGAAGAACAAAUGUGUAAGUAACUAUGCACGUCUGGACGGUACCUAAUCAGAAAGCCACGGCUAACUACGU
rnacentral:rRNA from 1 species